rnacentral:rRNA from 1 species
UCAAGCUACAAAGAGCACAAGGGGAAUGCCUUGGCACCGAGAGCCGAAGAAGGACGUGACUAACUGCGAUAAGCUGCGGGGAGCCGUAAGUAGGCUUUGAUCCGCAGAUUUCCGAAUGGAGCAAUCCGGCAAGAGGAAAGUCUUGUCAUCAUAUACUGAAUACAUAGGAAUAUGAGGGGAACCGCCUGAACUGAAACAUCUAAGUAGGGCGAGGAAGAGACAUCAAACGAGAUUCCGUAAGUAGUGGCGAGCGAACGCGGAAGAGGGCAAACCGUGAGUAGAAAUACUUGCGGGGUACGGACUGCUUUUAGGACUUAAUCUGUUAACCGAACGGCAUGGGAAGGCCGGUCAGAGAGUGUGAGAACCACGUAGGUGAAAACGACAAGAGCUGAGCAAGUUCCAGAGUACGGCCAGACACGUGAAACCUGGUCGGAAGAUGGGGGGACCACCCUCCAACCCUAAAUACUACCCAGUGACCGAUAGCGUAUAGUACUGUGAAGGAAAGGUGAAAAGCACCCCGGGAGGGGAGUGAAAAAGAACCUGAAACCCUGUGCCUACAAGCACCUAGAGCACGUCAAAGUGUGAUAGGGUACUUUUUGUAGAACGGUCCGGCGAGCGAUUGUAUGCAGCAAGGUUAAGGACUUAAGGUCUGGAGCCGAAGCGAAAGCGAGUUUGAAAAGGGCGUUAAGUUGCAUACAAUGGGCCCGAAACCGGGUGACCUACCCAUGGUCAGGUUGAAGUGGAAGUAAAAUUCCAUGGAGGACCGAACCGACCUCCGUUGAAAAGGCGGCGGAUGAACUGUGGGUAGCGGAGAAAUUCCAAUCGAACCCGGAGAUAGCUGGUUCUCCCCGAAAUAGUUUUAGGACUAGCCUCAAGUUAGAUACCUGGAGGUAAAGCACUGAAUAGCCUAGCGGCCGAGAGGUUAGCGAAGCUUAUCAAACUCAGAAUGCCAGAGUAUUGAUGCUUGGGAGUCAGACAGUGUCAGAUAAAUGUCAUUGUCAAAAGGGAAACAGCCCAGAUCUACAGCUAAGGUCCCAAAGUCAGGUUAAGUGGAAAACGAUGUGAAGAUACGCAGACAACCAGGAUGUUGGCUCAGAAGCAGCCACUCAUUCAAAGAGUGCGUAAUAGCUCACUGGUCGAGCGUCUUUGCGCGGAGAAUUUAACGGGGCUAAACCUGACACCGAAGCUUAGGCAAUGUAGUAAUACAUUGGGUAGGGGAGCGUUGUAUACGCGGUGAAACAGUAGCGCAAGCGGCUGUGGAGUGUAUAGAAGUGAGAAUGCCGGAAUGAGUAGCGCGAAUGCAGUGAGAAUCUGCAUGGCCGAAAGCCUCAGGUUUCUGGAGGAAGGUUCGUCCGCUCCAGGUUAGUCGGGAGCUAAGGUGAGGCCUAACGGCGUAGCCGAUGCACAGACGGUAGAGAUUCCGUCACCACCAAAAGAGUUAAACACAGGGACACAUUUGAAGUCUCGGAGCCGGGUGUUGGUUCCGGUAGCGAUCGAGGGAAGUUAGUACCGAAGUCCGGGAUGGAAGAUGGCGAGAAAAGCUGUGUGUAUUUCUGCGGUGCCCGUACCGCAAACCGACACAGGUAGGUAGGAAGAAGAUUCUAAGGCCAACGGGAGAAGGGUUGUUAAGGAACUCGGCAAAUUGACCCCGUAACUUCGGGAGAAGGGGUGCUCCAGAGAUGGAGCCGCAGAGAAUCGGCCCAAGCAACUGUUUACCAAAAACACAGGUUUGUGCUAAAUCGAAAGAUGACGUAUACGAGCUGACGCCUGCCCGGUGCUGGAAGGUUAAGAGGAGAUGUGCAAGCAUUGAAUCGAAGCCCCAGUGAACGGCGGCCGUAACUAUAACGGUCCUAAGGUAGCGAAAUUCCUUGUCAGGUAAGUUCUGACCCGCAUGAAAGGCGUAAUGAUUUGGGCACUGUCUCAACAGCCCGCCCGGCGAAAUUGUAGUACCGGUGAAGAUGCCGGUUACCCGCGACAAGACGGAAAGACCCCAUGGAGCUUUACUGUAGCCUAAUAUUGGGUUUCGAUGUUGCAUGCACAGGAUAGAUGGGACACUGGGAAGUGAUCGCUUUGGCGGUCAUGGAGUGGCCGUUGGGAUACCAUCCUUGCGAUAUUGGAAUUCUAACCUGCGCCUUUGAAUCAAGGCGGGGGACAUUGUUAGGUGGGCAGUUUGACUGGGGCGGUCGCCUCCUAAAGAGUAACGGAGGCGUUCAAAGGUUCGCUCAGCUUGAACGGAAAUCAAGCAAAAGAGUGCAAACGCAGAAGCGAGCCUAACUGCGAGACUGACGGGUCGAGCAGUAACGAAAGUUGGAGUUAGUGAUCCGGUGGUAUGUGAGUGGAAAUGCCAUCGCUCAACGGAUAAAAGUUACCCUGGGGAUAACAGGCUGAUCUCCCCCAAGAGUCCACAUCGACGGGGAGGUUUGGCACCUCGAUGUCGGCUCAUCGCAUCCUGGGGCGGAAGUACGUUCCAAGGGUUGGGCUGUUCGCCCAUUAAAGCGGUACGCGAGCUGGGUUCAGAACGUCGUGAGACAGUUCGGUCCCUAUCUGUCGUGGGCGCAGGAUAUUUGAUGGGAGCUGUUCCUAGUACGAGAGGACCGGAGCGGACGUACCUCUGGCGCACCAGUUGUUCUGCCAAGGGCAUAGCUGGGCAACUAUGUACGGAUCGGAUAAACGCUGAAAGCAUCUAAGCGUGAAGCCGACCCAAAGAUAAGAUAUCCCACUGAUUUGAUCAGGUAAGAUCCCUUGAAGACUACAAGGUUGAUAGGCACGAUGUGUAAGUGGAGUGAUCCAUUCAGCAAGCGUGUACUAAUAGGUCGAGGGCUUGACCAC